rnacentral:ncRNA from 2 species
UUUUCUGAAGUUGGCUAAUGAAAAAGUUUUCAGUGACACUUUUGUUAAUAGGGGUUAAUAUAUUCAGGUCAUGGCUGAAAGGGGGCAUAUAUGGGUCAAAUAAUUAGACAUGUAUCUCUUGGGAUUGUUUUAUUUUAGAUUCUGAGACGCCCAUCCCUGCAACGUCGAGCUGGCUCCCGCUCUGAUGUAACGCAUCAUGCUGUUACCUCGCAGCUACCACAGGUACCUGCUGGAGCAGGGAGCCGACCUAUUGGGGAGCAGGAAGAAGAAGAGUACGAAACUAAAGGAGGACGCCGGAGAACAUGGGAUGAUGAUUAUGUGCUAAAGAGACAGUUUUCUGCAUUGGUUCCUGCUUUUGAUCCUAGACCUGGUCGUACUAAUGUCCAGCAGACAACUGAUCUAGAAAUACCACCCCCAGGGACCCCUCAUUCAGAGCUCUUGGAAGAAGUCGAAUGUACUCCGUCACCUCGAUUAGCUCUCACUUUGAAAGUAACAGGUCUUGGAACGACUCGUGAAGUUGAAUUACCACUCACCAAUUUCAGAUCAACCAUCUUUU